AGUGCACUUCAAGAGCGCACGGUGGAUGCCUUGACACUGUCAGACGAAGAAGGACGUUGCAGGGUGCGAUAAGUCUCGGUUAGGUCCCAAGCAACCUUUGAUCCGGGAAUGUCCGAAUGGGGGAACCCACUAUGAUUAACAUCAUAGUACUGUGUAGUGAAUACAUAGCUACAUGGAGAAGACCUGGUGAAGUGAAACAUCUCAGUAACCAGAGGAGUAGAAAACAAAAAAAGACUUCUUUUUUCUUACCUUAUCACUAUAUCUUUAUUGAUGUGCGAUAAGGUAGAUGAGAGAAGUUGUGAUUCCGUGAGUAGUGGCGAGCGAAAGCGGAACAGCCCAAACCUAUAUAUGUGUUGAAUACAAGAAAAUUGGUCUUUAUUGACUUCUCGUAUUGUAUUCUUAAAGGACAGGCCGUUGCUAUAUAGGGGUUGUAGGUUAUGACGUUGGCUACCUGCUAUGCCAGUCAUUUAUAUAUAUUUAUAGCUGAAGAUCUCUGGAAAGGGACAUCAAAGAAGGUGAUAAUCCUGUAAGCGAAAUAAAUAUAUAUCUUUGAGGUUAUAUACCUGAGUAGGGCGGAACACGAGAAAUUCCGUCUGAAUCUGCCGCGACUAUGCGGUAAGGCUAAAUACUGACAGUGAUCGAUAGUGAACCAGUACCGUGAGGGAAAGGUGAAAAGCAGCCCGGAGAGGGCGGUGAAAUAGUACCUGAAACCGUGUGCUUACAAUGAGUUGGAGUCCAAGUUACCUUCGGGUAACUGGAUGACAGCGUUCCUAUUGAAGAAUGAGCCUGCGA
rnacentral:rRNA from 1 species